UUCGUUGUGGUCAAUAUGAUAACACAUAAAAUAUAAUUGGUAAGAAGGAAAAUAUUAUUAUUGAUCUUAUAAAAUUUACAGCAUGGCAUGGCUAUAUAUCAAAGUCAAGAGUUUAAAUUUUUCUUUUUGAGAAUGGUUCAUGAAUAUUUUGUAAAAAAUUAGUUAUUUGGUUAUAUUUGACUUGAAAGGAAGUAUACUAUGUAACUUUAAAUAGCAUAUGAAUAUGUCCAUUUUACUUCAUAAACUACUUCAUGCUUGAUUGAAGUAACUCAAAUAAAAGAAUAUGACAUUUCAAUUCGUAAUUAAAAUAUAUAAUUAAAUUUGUGAUCUACUUUUAUUUUUAUUGUUAGUAAGUACAACUUACUAGGCUCACUGCACAUCACAUGUUAGUUCUUUUAUUAUCAAAUAUAAUUAAUUUAAUCUAGAAAUAAAUCAUUUUUAAAUGCAUUAUUCAACUAAUUAAGUAAUAUUUUGAAUAAAUAAGAUAAUUACUUAAAACUUUUUAAAUGAAUCUAAUUCAAACCAUUUCAUGUUGAAUUGGAUGAAAGUUAAACUUUCAAUAAAAACAAUUACACAUAGAAAUGAAAAUCCUCUAAAAAAAUGAAUUCCUAUUAACUCACUAGAUACACAAACAUCCCAUCUUCUACUCAAGAUCCAUCGAAAAUCAGCAAAAUAAUAGUUUAAUUUAAAAAAAUAAUAAUAAUUUGGGAUGAAUUAAGUAGAAAAGUAAAAGUAUUAAUCUUUGUAUUAGGUUAACCUAAAGUGUUCUUACGAAAGGCAACCUCUGUGUCCAAACCAAAACCAUCAACGGCACGAACGUGAACCAAAGCGGAGUGGUUGAAGAGCGUGAGGAGGGGGUCCACGCUGUAGAGGUCGUUGGCGGAGUACUUAUCGGCGCGCCGCGACAGCGCCACGUGCAACACACACACGCCGUUGGGCUUCAACGUUCGUUCGAUCUCGCCCACGAAGCGUUCCGGGUAGAGCGCGUGGUCGAAGACGUUCGAGAAUUCGAAGUCGAACGUGCCGUUAUCAAACGGUUGGUUGUGAAAGUCGCCCUUAACCACGAGGGGAGGGUAGGGAACGAGGUCCAUUCCGAUGGAGUCGCUAACGCCGACGCGCCUUAGCGCCUCCACUUCUUGCCCCACGCGCGCGCCUACGCAAAGCGCCUUCGAGCCCUUCUGGAGAAGCUUCUUUUCCUUGAGGUCCUCGAAGAAGCGCGCAAAAACCGGGAUCUUGCGGUCCCAGUCGCGCGUGGUCCAUAUUUUCCGGAGGCGCGGGUUGAGGGUUUUGUUGAGCUGGCGCUGGAUGUAGGCGUCGUAGGAAGAGUAACCGGGUCGAAUUCUGAGGUUGUCAUUGCCGGUGGUGGCGAUGCUGACGUGGCGGUAGUGUUGUUGCGGAGAGAGGAGUAGGAGGAUGAGGAAGAGGAAGAAGGGGAGGGAGAGGAGGAGGGAGACGAUAAAACAUCUUAGGAUGAAUGGUUUUGUGAGUGUAAUGUUCAUUCCCACAUGCAUGUCGUGCUAAUGGAACGUGUUCUUCCUCAUGCUUAAUCUUGCUUUUGCUUUUUAGGUCUAUGCAUGCAUGGGACGUAACUUUUUGUGAUUUUUUGGAUAAGAUGAAAGCUUAAUUUUGAAGAAAGAGAGAAAGAGAGAGUCAAAUAAAGGAUUAUAGAUAAGCCAUUUAUGCUUUAUAGUUGCUAAAGAUAAGUUCUAUUUCACCAUCUACUCUAUAGGAUAUAUAGCAUUCUUCUAAUUUCUGUUUAGAUUUGGAAUAGAGUUAAGCUUUGUUCUUUAUAAUCAUUUUAGAGAUUAUAAAACAUUAUUUUCUGCAAAGGAUUUAAAUGUUUUUUAUAGAAUAAAUUUAUUCUUAAUAAAUAUUAUGCACAGAAACAUAAAGAAAGAGAAAAGGGAAGAAAGAAAUUAAAAUAAAAUGAGAAUUUAAUUUAAAUUUAAAUACAUAUUAUAUGAUCAAUAUAACUUUUAUAUAUCUAAUUUAAAAUGAAAUUUAAUUGAUUGAUAAUGUAAAUAGUUUUACUAUAUACAUGAAACAUAAAUUUAAUAAAAUAAUUAAACCGAUUUAAGUUAAAAUACGACAUCCUUUGUUUUAGGACUGGUUCGAUUUGUUAUUAUAUUUUGAUAAUAUGCAUAUAUUAGAACGUAAAUCCAUUUUCAUUCCGUUGUUGAUUUUUGAAUUCAAAUCAAAUCGUUGAAUUGAGUGGAUAAAUGUAUUGAAAUGUUGUUAAUUUGGUUAAGUUGUUGAUUUUGCAGAACUUUGGUUGUGUUUUUUUCUCAACACAAUGGAGGAAAGUGGAUAAAUGCAUUAAACUUGGAGCAUAUUCAAUGAUAAAUAUAAUGACAGUUUUUCAAAAUUAAAAUUAUUAAAAUCUCAUUUUCCAUUUACUAUGUUACAAAAUAGAUUACAUAAUUUUGGUUAAAUUUUUACUGAAAAUAAUUUUUUAAAGCAUUGAUUGAGAAAUAAUUACUCAUGAUUGUCAUAAAAAAUAAUACAAGAAGAACCAUAAUAAAAAAUAAUACAAGAAGAACCAUACUUAGAAAGCAUAAGUUGUACAGUAUGAAGAUCAAACAUCUAUGAGCAAAACUCAAAAUAUGAUUUUUUUUUUAAUUUUAUACUUAAAAUUUUAAGAUAAUAAAUUUGUAAAAAAAAUUAUAUAAUUUAUAGAAGCUCUUUUAUAUAACAUUUCUAAAUUUUUACUUUUAGCUCACCUAUAAACUAAUAACAUAAUGGGUUAAAUGCACUGACCAAACAGCUAAAGCAAGUUUUGUCACUCAUAACAAUGAUUGGUCCCCAACUACUUACAAGUAUUAAAUCCAAUAUUGAAUCAUUCCUCCCCAACUCCAAUCAAUAAUUGGUACAAACAUUCUAUAACAUAAAAGACAUAGUUUUCGUAUUAUCUUUCUUUGAAUUGAAAAUAAUUACAUUGAAUUAUAAAAUAAGAAUAUUGUUAAAUGGCAUAUUUAGAGCUUACUUGAUAUGCAUAACAGGAUAAGAGAAUUAAUAAAGAUUAAAGUUGAUACAUAUUUACCCUUUCAUGUGUUUGAUACACAAAAUAAUAGAACUAAAUAACAUUAAUAUUAUUCUAUCAUGUAUUGAGAUGGACCAAUGUGAUAUGAUAAAAUAAGAAGAGGAUAAUAAGAUAGUUAAGAGAAUUUGUUUUACUAAUUACUAAAAUAGUGUGUAAAAUGUGCAUCCAAAAUACAAAAUAGAGAACAUUCAGAAUGUUUGAGAUAAUGGGGGGUGUUUUACUUAGAAUACAAGAAUGAUAAAGUACUAAAAGAAGAGAAUUUUGUAAAUUUGAUCAAAUAUCACUUUCUAUGUAGCCAUUAACAUCUUGACCUGCUGUAUUAACCAUGUGAAACUGACUGCCUAGGAAGACUGCUGGAAUAAAAAACAAAUGCAUAUUUUCAAUGACUAUAUAUAUUUUACACUCACUCCUGCCACACCACGAAUACGGGUGGGAAGAAAGACCAGGAGGUGGAAUUGAGGGAUCAAAAUAACAGGAUAUCCAUUCAACUGUUUAUCAAGUAACUGCAUCCAUGAUCAACUAAUUCCAUGUUGCUUUAAUACAUCCCCUUGAAAACGGGAUUUGUACGGCAAAUGCUUGCUCCAUACUCCUCAUAUUCUGCCUUCGUAUGACAAGCCUGUUCAUUGGAACAUAAAUAGUAAUCUUGUUUUGUAUAGAGUCAUAUCGGAAGGAUUAAAGAAACAAUAAGAAAUUAUGGAUACUCUCACUACGAGAAAAUUAUUGCAAGAAAACUGAAUACACAUUGCCGUCCGCAAGGAUGACAAACCAAAAAAAAAAUAGUUUUACCCUGUUCAAGUUUCAUAAUUUUAAACUUAGCAAACAUUAACACUAUAACCAUAUUUUUUUUUACCAAAAAUGCAAUCAUAGACUGUUUUAACUGGAAAAGCAUACAAAAUCCAGGUUAUCAAUGCCAAACAAUAAGCAAGACAACCAACUACAGACGUGACAGUUAGGAGUUAGGAAAUUAGUUUAAAUGGUUACGAUAUUAAUAGUUAGUUGAGGGGUUAAUGAAUUAAAUAAAUAGGAGAAUGUAAGGGGAAAGGGCUCACUAUAUCUUGUAUCAUUAGAGAAUUGAGUUUUACUCUUUAUCAUAGGAGAAACCAUUGGAGGAGAGCUAUUCUGUUAUCUUCUGUCCUUUUUGAAAUCAAGAAAUAUCAUCUUCCUUCUUCUAUUUUCUAAUUUGAGUUCCUACCAAAUUGGUUUGACCCACCCACAAAUUUGACCAGAUUGAGAAAACCCCAUAUCCAAAUUUUGGAAAGAAAUGGAUAAUUCAUAAGGCUCUUGAAGGAAGGGACCACCAAGCUACUUGUGUUCAAGCAAUUGGUAAAGACGAAAAACAAAACCAGAACACAGCAAUGAACAAAAUAAGUUGAGUGUUCAAUGGAACUCUAGAAAAGAUCUAAUUAAUCAGCUUUUGGAGAUCAAGAAGUUUCAUGGAAUCAAAGAGAUUCACACACUUUUGAACAAACUCUCUACUAUUAGCUGAAUUUAAUUGGAAACCAGAAAACUACGAUAGAGCCUCGUAAGAGGUUCUCAUGAAAUUGUGAUUUUCAAUAAAAUUUAACCACAGAAUAGAGAGUCCAUUUUUAGCAUUUCUUGAAAAACUAUGAUGCAGUUGUUGAUGAAGAAAGAAGGCAUCGGGUAUAUGGGUAAUGUUGUCAUGGCAAGACAUUUCUUCAGAGGAAGAAUCAAACCACCUUUUGGGGAGAUAGAUCUUAAAGACCUAGUUGAGGGGGUGAAGUUGAGGAGCUGGGUGCCAAGAACCUGAAGCUGAGGAUUUGCAGCAGAAAAUGGAGGAACAAGGUGAGCAGGACAACAUCAGUAUGGAGGGGAGUUGGCCAGAAUGUGAUAAAGCACAGGCUAGUUCUUGGACAAGAAAGAUAGAAUUACCCACCCCUUAAUGGAAGCACAAAACAGAAAUAACUUGAAGGGUAGCAGUUUCAACUCAAUGUGACGGUGACCCAGCAAUUCUUGCAAGUAAAAAUAAAGACAUAAAGAAGGUUCAACAAUCAAGAAUCAUGCCUCAUGUGAUGGAAAGAAACCAAAAAUGAAGUAAUAUUAGCACGAAAAAAAAAUUCAAAAUAGUUAUGGACAACGAAGAAGUUGAUCCUUCACUGAAAAGGGAGAAACAAAAGGAAAACAGUAAAGAAUAUGGGCUGCGAUGACUAUUUUCAGGACAACCCUGUAAAAGGUGGAGUUGCAACCAGGCCUUCUCUUUCAAAACCCAAAUGUCCAGAAAAAGCUUGUUACUGUAAGACAUAAAUUGGACCAUAAAGGUGGAUGGAACAUCCAUGGCGUAGGAAUCUUGAAACUCACAUGCUAGGUGAGCCUUUAUCCUUAUAUAUUGGUUGCAUCUAAGGUUCAUAGCACGACAAUGGAGCCAAGGCAGGAGAGUCCAGAGGCAAUUAUGAUGAUUCAAGUUAUACAGUCAACCUCAUCACCACCACAACCAAAGCUGUUGGACCUGAGUUCACAUGCAGUGGUGACUGGCUUCACAGUUGAGCCCUCGUGAAUGGACAUCAUUGAGGUAUCUCUUGCUUAAAUAAACAAUUAGGUUCUGGAGAAUGGGAAAAGGGGGUAGAUUUGAAAUUCUUCAAAAGUGGAUCCAAAUUUUGACCAAUGGGUCAAGCACCUCUUCUUUCUUCUAUUUUCUAACAAGUUUCAUAUUUCUAAACUUGCCAAACAAUACCAUGAGGUGGAACCAAAUCCAUUUAACCUAGAAAAGCAUACAAAACUCAAGAUAUCAAUGCCAGACAAAAAGGCAAAGACAACCUACCAUGGCUUUUCAAGAACAAAUAACUAUACAUCUCAAGCCUACAAAUCCAUAUAUGCUAUCGCAGAAAUUGUAGUUGAAAAUAGAUUUUUUUCUGUUUUGGGGACAUGGUACUUAUCAGUCAUAGCAAGGAAGAAAGUUAGUCACAGAAAGUAAUUUCCGCCCCCCCGCCCCCCUCUAAUUACAUAAGCACGUUAUUAGUACACGAAAUUAGUCAUUAUGGGAUGCAUUCACUGUACCUCCUAACCCCAAAAAAGAUCAGAAAUGCAUACCGUAAAAAAUUCAGGUGUUGAUGCAAGUACUGAUCCUCCAAACCAAACUGCAAAUCUCUGGAUUGGAUGGCCGAGUACAUUUACCUCCACUGGCUGUGACUGUAGGCAAAAAAGUAAAAGCAUGACCAAAGCAAUAAAUAUACAGCAGUCCAGCAUGCCAUAACUACACCGGUGUGACUAGUUUGUCCAUGCAACUGUUGGGCCCUAGGGGAUGUGAAGACCUUCUGAGCACAAAUUACAUAACCAAACCAAUCAACAACCCACGCAACACUAUUUUCAAUACAAACAAUUGGAACAAAUGAAUUUAUGUAAUUAUUGAUUGUUGAUUGGUUUAGUCUGUACAACUUGGGCAAACAAGUUUCUCAUGUGUGCGUGUGAGAGAGAGGGAGAGAAAAUCAUCAAUUUAAAGAAGGUUUAAAGGUACCAAUUAACUUACUUUUAUCUCCCCGUUUAAGCGUGCUUCGGAUAAAAGGACACGAGCAUCCACUAUUUUUUUAAGAUCACGUUGCAACCUCCUAUGAAAAUCCUUGAACAUGGUUGAACCUCCAGACAACACUAUAUUCUGAAAUAAAUAAAAUAAGAAAGAAGUAAAGAGAUCAAUUGUCAACAACAUGUAAGCUGAAGGGCUUGAAAUUCGUAUGAUCAGAAAUUAAAUAUCAUGGCUGAAUUGAUAUGGUAUAAUAUAACUUAACACUAAUGUACUCCAUCUGGGUUAACAACAAAAAAUGCCCCAAGCUAACAUUGAUUCGAAGUGGCAGUUCACUAGAAUUUAAAGUGCUGUUGGGGCUUAUUUAUAUGCAUGUCAGUAUGGUACUUCACCUUAUAUAAGGAUCUCCUUGUGUCAAUUGGUGCAGACUGAAUACACUUGUCUAUUACAACUGGCAAAGGAGUCGUAAAGUCAUUGCCAUAUAUCUCAGGACUGAAAAAAAUCUGCAGAGGGAGAAAAUAAAUUAAAUUAACUGGUCCUGUUGAUAGAAUGACCCCAACUAAGCCGAUAGAUUAGUUCAUGAUUUACACAAAGCCACUACUACAUUUUCAUGAAUUCUUCAAUAGUUGAAUUGAAGGAGCUACCUCAUGUGGAACCAAUGGGCGUGACUAAAUGACACCAAGAUUCUUAGAGAUAGAAACCACGAUCUACAUCUAAGGUUCAAAUCCUUCAAAUCUCAGCCAGGCUACACUGCCUGCACUUAAGCCUACCUUGCCCCUUCCCACACUACUUCUUGGACCUCUUUUAGAGCCCAUAAAGGAAAAGGAAAAUGAAAAAAAAAAAACCUAACUAUCUAAAGAGAAAGACCAUAAAGGAAAAGGAAAAUAGAAAAAAAAAACUCUAAACAUCUAAAGAAAAGGUUUGGAUGAAGACAAAAUGCGUAAUAUCACUUUAAUAUUUACCAUUUUCCAUUAUAGGCCCCUCCGUUUCAGUUAGAUAUUAAUGAUAGGAAGUCAGGAACUAAACAAGUAUAUAUUUAUUUAAUUCAUAGUUCAUGGAAUAGGUUCAGGUAUUCACAACAAAAAAACCAUACUAAAACAGUUAUAUAAGGAGUGGCCAUCAAACAAACCUCAGGACCAAGAAAUCGUUCAUAGCCAAUAUCACAUGAAUAUGGUGCCCCUGUCUUUGGUUUAAUGCCUCUCCAGUGCUUGAUGUACUUGCCUGGUUCUUUGUCGUGCUUAUUGAAUUCCUGAGUGAAAUUGAGCUAAUGUUAUGUAGGAAAACUAAUGAGUUGAAAAGAAAACUUUGGUCACAUCCUUUGAUUCACAAAAGGAGCAAACUAAUUAAACAGGACAAUUUAUCAACACUCAACAUGCUAACGCCAGAGGCAACAAAACUAAUGGCAAAGGCCCACAACAAACCCCUCAUGAUUCUGUCAAAGAACCAAGUAUUGAUGAACUAAAGAGAGUAAAGACAACCUUCACAAUGUCAGAGCAGGUGUAGCAAUACAUUUCCUUUACUUUCCAUGCCACUUCAAAAGAGUCUUCCGGUGGUACCUUCUCUCCUCUUUCCUGUAUGAAGCAAUGUCAACAUAACAGUUCAUGAAUCUGCUUAGUAAAAUGCAGAUUGACAAUUGAAUACAGAUUAUUAUUUAUUACAAUCUCAGUCAGUUGAACAAAAUAUUCUAGCUAAAUACGCGAAUAACUCUGGACUAUUAAAUUUUUUAUUUAUAUUUCUUAACUAUUAAAAAUAUAGCAAUAAUAUCAUGCAUUCCACACUGUUCAUCCAGAUUAGCAUAACAUGAUUGGUUUCACUAGCUAGUGUGAAUGGUAAUUUGUGAAAAUGUUCAACAUUAACAACAACCCCACUAGGUAAGGUCAGCUAACUAGACAUUAAUCAGAGGUUUAAAAAAAUUCACAGAUAUUCGAAUAAGAGAACAAUACCAACAUAAUAACCUUUUAAUUUUAUACUACAGGGGUUACCCACCCGCAUAAGCUGCUGAACAAAAAGAGUAACAUCCUUUCCAGCAAUAGGAAUCGAUUUGAUGCUGCUACCAAUAACGUAGCCAUCUGCCACAGGUACAACAUGAGUUGCCCCAUCUCCAACAUCCACUACAACUCCUGUCAUCUCACACUAAGAAGAAUAUAAGAUCAGCCUAAAAGGAAAAUAUUCCUAAAAUUAGACAGAUAUAAUGAAAAACAAAAAUUCUUCAACAUUUUAUGUCAACACAAUGAGGGGAACUGCUGAAUUAUCCUAUGUGCUAGUUCAUGAUAUUUAUUCUACAGAGUGGUUAACUUUUGAUUUCAAGUGAACACAACCAAAUGCGUCAAAUUGCAGGAGCCGGUGAAACAUCCUGUGCAUUUUGCGUUUAAUAGCUACCAAGCAAACGGGGCAUUUCAUGCAUCAUACUUAAUAUGUAAAGCAUUCAAGAUUAAACAUCCUGUUCCAAUUCUAUACGCAACAUAAUUCCCAAUCUUUAUCCAGUGUAUCAAUUACCAACCUUAGAUGUUGUGUACCCAGCUGCAAGAGCAAGCACAGAAUUCACAGCAAUGUAAAGUCCAGGCACGUUAAAAGUCUCAAACAUGAUUUCCCCAGUAUACUCGCGACUCUCAGGUGCGGUCAAUGGACUCUCGGUCAAGAGGAAAUAGUGAUCCUCCGGAUCACACCUCAAGUAGUUGAAUAUGCACUGCUGCCAGAAGCGCUCCAUGGCAUCCCAAUUCUCAACCUGACCAUGCCGAAUCGGGUAGCUGAGAUUGUAAGUGCUGCUAGAUCGAGACUUGGAAAGUGCCUCAUCCCCAAUGAAGAAAUCAAGAUCUGCCAAAACCCCAGCAUUGUGCUGGGCCGCCCAAUUGCCUUUAGAAGAACCCCUGGAUUGAGUCAGAAACGACUCAUUAACUGCAACAACAGUCGGAACAAUAAAGGAUGGUUCAACAUUACCAGCAAACCCCAUCUUCGUAUACCUGAAGAAAAAUAAAACAGUUUCCAAAUUCAGAGUAAACCAUAUCGGAUGAAUAAAUUUUCCAGUCAAUCCAAGUCAAAAGAACUAAAGAAAACAUCAGUGGGGGCAUUUUAACAAACACGUGGUGUCCAAUAAAAAAACCACAACAUGUAGCUAAAAGAGAAAGUGGGUGAUAGAAAAGAAAGUAAAGGGUACCCGGAGCCAUUAUCGAUUACUACAGCUGGUCGAGAAGUAGAGGGGUCCAUGAGAGAGAGCGAAAAAGUGGCGGUGAUAUUGAAAGCUGAAGGUGGAUCCGAGAGUGAAUGUGAGGCAGAGGAUCAUGGUCGUGAAGAGGUGAAUAAGGAUGAAAAGGAAGGUAGUAUAGGUGAGAGUAAAGAUGACGUUGACGCAGACUUUGAUCCGAAGUGAAAAAAGAGAAAAGAGAAAUAGGAAUGGUUGGUUAUUGUGGAUAAACCCAUUUGAAGUGAAAACUGAAGUGUGAAGGUGGAAGUGCAGAUGCAGGUCCCAGUUACUUCAUCAUCAUCAUCAUCACCAUUCUGUUGAUUUCCCAAACAUGCUUUCCUUGGCAAUCAAACAACAACUCUUCCCUCUCUCUUUCUCUCUCUAGAUUCUGUCUCUUUCUAUUAGUAUUAAUUGUAAUUAAUUUGACGGCAGUAAUUAGUAGCUUUGUAUAUGCAGAGCAAGAACUUGACGGCAACAACCUGAAUUGUGGUUGAAAAGCGGUGAGAUUUGAAGGGCCACUUGCAGGGACCUACCAGCACGAAUAACAUGUAAGUUCUUUCAUUUCUUUCUUACACGCCAACCUUUUUCUUUCUUCCUCCUCCAUCAUCAAUUCAUCAACCUCCAUUAAGAAUACUUUCGCUAUUUUUUAAUUUACAUAAAUUUCAAACAUGCUCUUUCUUUCCUUUAACCUUAAAAGUUUAAAAAAAAAAAAACAAGAACACAAUAAAUGGUUUGAAUUUUAAUAAAAUAGUCAUGAUAUUUUCUGUACCAAAUUGUACAUUUUUAUCAUUCCAUUUUUUUUUUAAAUUUUAUCAUCUAAAGUUUUUUCCACAUGUUAUUAUUCUCUUUUUUCAACUUCUACAAAAUUUAUUUUAACUAAUGGAAAAGCAUCUCUAUAUAUGUUAAGAAAAAAAUAAUAUUAAUAAAAAUAUGUUUCAUUCUUUGGGUGGACUACACCCGCUUUUUAUAUAUAUAUCAAUUUUAACGUCGAUUUUGAUCACUCAAUAAUUUUAUUUAUUUUGUUACAUCAAUUACAUUCACUACUUUAAAACUUUAAAGUAUUAUUAAUCGAUUUUAGUUCAUUAAAUUAAUGUUAUUAAUAUCUAAUAUGAAGGUAAAUGUUAAUUAUGUAACUUCCAUCAUUUAGAUGUGGAUUUUUAGCUGACUCAAAGGAGACGCUAAUAAAUAACAUUGUAGUAUCCGCUUAUUUCCUUUUACGUUUUUUUUUUCUUGUCUACCCUAAUUUAUUAGUUAACAUAUUUGUAGUACAUAAAAUAUCUUGUUUUCGAUUCUUUGGUUUUUUCUACGUUUCAAGAUAUCACAUGCUUCUUUUGAUACAAUUGACUACCUUAUUAUUAUUUUUAUAAAUUUAAAAUUUAUUAAUAUUUAAAAUAUUUUUUAUUAUUAAUAAAAAUUUAUAUAAUUUCUAAAUUAAUAUUUAAUAUUGGUUAUUAAUUAUUUUAAAUUAAUCAUUAUAAAAAACUAAUUUAAAAUAUAAAAUAUUUAAUAGCUAAAAUAUUUAUAAUUAAUGUUACAUGCCACUUUAAAAAAUAAUUUAUGAUUUUUUAUUAAUAAUAAACUAAUUUAAAUACCAAUAAUUUUUUAAUUUAUAAAAUAAUAUAGUAAUUAAUUAUUUUUUGUCUUUAGUAAUUAUUUGUUUAAUAUGAAUAUUUUUAUUUUUUUAAAAUAUUUAGUAGGUAACUUCUCAAUUAAUAUGUGAUAGUGCUAGUUGAUGUUGUCUCCUUAGGCUAACUCUAAGUUCAACAAAGCUCUAAGAAUUGAGCUCUCAAAUGUGUGGAUAUCAAAUUCUCUAAUAAUUCAUUCAGUGACUAUUCAAUUCAAAUUUUCAUGGUUAAUAAAAUAAAAUGGCUUCCAUUUCUUCUUUGAGGUGCAGACUUUGUGCUAAAGUUCAUACCUCUCCAAUUUAAAGUCCAAGGCUCGUUUCUAUUUAUUAGACAAUACACACUAAAAAUAGAGAUCUGAUGAUAAAAACAAUAUCAUGUCUGCAACUUUGUUUCAGUUAAUAAUUAAGACAGUAUUUAAUUCUUACUUUUCAAAUUCUAUUCUGUUCAUAAUUAUUUGUUCUGAAUUAUUGUCCACAUAAAUUAUGAUGUUUAAAACUCAACAUAACUAAACUAACUAAAAAUAACAACAGUUGGUGUCACAAAAUCAGCCCUAAAUUGUAAGCCAGCCCUAGCAGCACAUGUGCAAAUAUGCAAAGGUGUUACAAUAAUAUUAUUCGGACAACUAAGUAAGUUCUCAAAAUUGCAGGCACCAUGUAAAUUCAACAGUAGUUAUGUUGUGACAACAGAAAGGAAGUACAUAGAAACUGGAACUGAAUGAGAUCUAUGAUGGGGAAAAGGGAAGGUACUAUAACAGUUGCAGCAAAUAGAAAUUGGAAAGGAAUGAAUAAAGGAAGUGACAGUAAAAAAGAGAAAUAACAGAAGAGAAGGUGAUAUAAUAUAGCAUUAGAUAGAUACAAGUUACAAGAGAAUUAUUGUAUGAUGACUAUUUCAACAUCACUGGGAUCUCAUCCUGUUGAUCUGGUUCAGAGCAGGCUGCAAGAUGUUGUACAGCACCCACCCAAUAGCCGGUGUCACCACAAACAGCAGAAGCUGGCCCCUGUUGUCGCUCGCGGCUUCGGCGAUCGACGCCACUUCAGCGGCAGCUGCAUGUGGCGGCGCCGCCAUGAGUCCUGCCAAGCCGCCAAGACCCAACCCGAUGAUGAGUCCUUUGGUGCUGCGCAUACGGUUGAUUUGGUUGAGCGCCGGCUGCAGGAUGUUGAACAGCACCCACCCUAUGGCUGGGAUUAUGGGCAGCAGCAGGGCCAGGCCGCGGUUGUCGCCUUCCGCUAUAUCCGCUAUCUGCUGGACGGCGAACGCGGCGUCGCAGGUUCCGAGGGCCGUGAAUAUGGCUCCCGCGACGGCUGUGGGAAUGGAGAGGUUGGUGGUUUCGGGUGAGGCGACAAGGCCCUUGGGAAGAGAAAGGAGAGAAGGUUUUGAGGUUGUGAGUUUGGUGGGGAAUUUGGGUGACGUGGGGUUGAGGCAUUUGGCGUUGAUCAUGGCCAUUGCUGAUAUUGUUGCUGCCAUUGGUGUGUUGGUGAGUGAGCUGAGAAUGGUGGUGGGUGUGGUGGAGAGGGAAGAUGGGGAACGUG
rnacentral:lncRNA from 1 species